CAUAAUCCAACGGCUCACAUUAAAAUCCCAAUUCUAAUACACCAAAGACCCUUACCCCCUCUCAUUCCAUUCCCCAUCCAAAGGCCCUUCGUAUCCAAAGACCCCUCCCACUGAAACCCUAGCCACUACCCCUUCCCCUCACCUGAAACCCUGCGGCAACGACGCCGGUGGCCACCAAACCCACACCCCUGAACCUUCGAACCACCCUCAGUCCAAAUCUAUACCCCUUUAACCUCGAAUCAUCCUAGGCCGUCUCGAAUCUUCAAUCGAAGAAUCGAGCAAAACUCUGACCUACCCAAUCAGCCCCCAAAUUAACACACAGUAAUCCCCUUGGACCCUAAUCCCCAACCAAAUUGGUCGAAUUCGAGUAAAACUCGUCGAAGGGCGGAUCUUAGGUUCGAACGGUUCGCCUGUUUCGAGAGAUGUCAAGGUCGAAUUUUAGUUAAUAUUAUAGGACUAUAUCUGACGAAAUGGACCUAUAAUACUAACUGGAAAUCAAUUUCAAAAAGCAUGAUGGUGAGAGCUGAAAAACAGUAAGCUCUUAUUAGUUUCUUCUUUUUCUAUAUGUUUGAUUUCUGUGUUAAGCCGUAAUUAGUCUAUUCUUUAGGAUUUUAGUUUGAGUUAAUUAUUGGUUCUUAUUCCAGUAAAUAUCCCGCCUGAUAAUUAGGUAUUUUCGAUUCUCUUUUCUUUUCUUUCGUCUUUUAUUUAGUGUUUGAUUCCCCGUCUUCUUUCCUCCCACUUUGUUUCUGUUUUGAUUCUGUGAUUGAACCAAGUCAGUUUGUCUGUAUGCUAAAAAAUUAAGGAUUAGUUCAUCAUAAUAUUUGAAUCUCUUAGUCGGUCGUUAUAUUGUUUUGAAUUGCUUGGUCAGUUGAAAUGCUUUGAGAAUACUUUAACUGUUGUUUUGGUUGUCACCUGAACCUACUGUGUCAUUCCCUGUAAGUAUUUUCUGAAUCAUUGAAAUCCUUGGUCUUUGUUUUGUUGCUAUUUGAUUCAACCUGAGUUCAAGCUUAAGCUGUUGUGUGAGUUUGAUAAAUUGAAUCAUGCUGUUUAGGGUCUGAGAUGAAUCGGACAUUUGUUUGAAUUCAGUUUUGGUAUAAUAAUGUUAAUUAGAUAGUAUUGAGUUAUAAGGUUGCAUUCAGAAUUUAAGAGAAUGGUUAUAGCUGUAAUUUUAGAGUUUUUAGGGGUAAUUUGGGAUUUCAAAAACUGGAAAAUGGUUUUGAGUGCUCUGUCAAUAAGCACUAAUGUGCCACUAACUUAAUGCAUUUGUUUAAAAAUAGUGGGGAACAAAACAUAAUGGUAUGGGGAGGUUUAAAGGGAGUGAUUAAACAAAUAUGCACCCAUAACAAUUGAAUUAAACAAUUAGAAUGGGACAUAUAGUAGUGGGGUUCUAGUUUGGCUAUAAAUACUGGCAGACUUGGACAGGGUUAGGGACAGUGGAAAAAGAACAGGAGGAGCUUGAAAACACUGAAAAAAUACUGAGGGUUCAGAGAGAGUUUUAAAAAGCUCUCUUUUCUGAAAAUUUCACUUCCUCUUUAAUCAAUCUGAGAGAACACUUCUUAGUGUCCUUCCUUAAUCAAUCUAAGGGAGCACUUUGAGAGCUUAAGGUCAGUCUUUUUUAGUCCUGGAAUCAGUCUGAAAUCAGUUUAAAAGGGAGUUUUGAGAGAGUUCUUAGACAGUCUUGAGGGAGUUUGAAAACAUUGAGAAAAAGUGAAUAUUGUUCCAUUGAUCCUCCUCACUAUUUUUCAGUUUCGAACUAGAAUUCAAUCCCUUUGCCUGUUUGCUUCGAGCCUGUGAGUUUGAGUCAGUUGGUAAAUCAGUUGGUUGCUUAUACUUCAGUCCCUGGUUCAUACUUGAGUUUUUGGUUUUCUGUUGAGGCUGUUCUAUCAGUUCUGUUUGCUUUUCGAACUGUUCUGGGUAUUGAACUUGAUUGGUUGUUGCUGUUGGAAUUUGCUGGUUGUUCAUACUGCUGUGACUUGAUGUGUUAUUGUUGUUGACUACUCUUUCUUCUUCUUGUAUCUUCAUUAUCCAUGUACACAUCCUGAGGUUAUUAUCGUGUAAAUCUCCAGUCAAAUUAAUGAAAUGAAGUUGAAGCGUGUUCUGUUGUAGAUUUUGUUUAUUCUCUAUACUUAAAUAUUUUAGUGUAAUUAAUCUAGGUUAGACUGUUGAGACUCUUGAACCUUUUAAUUUUGAUAUGGCAUAAGCCUGUUUUCACACAUCAGUUUGAUUUUUGGGUAAUCGAAGAUUAAAGUGCAUCUGAAAUUGUGUAAAUGGAUUAUAAACCAUUUUGAGUUAGAUAAAUUGUGAAUUGCUAUGUCUCGAAUGAAUGUGAGUUUUUCUUUUGAGUUUGAAUACAAGUUGUAAUCAAGUUUAUGUUAGGUUAUUAGAAUAAUUUGGGUUAGUUUUAGCUAAUCUCUUAUCAUGUGUUUUGUAAGCCCGUUUGAAAAGUAAUUCGACAAUAAGUAAACCUUUGGUAGUUUUUUUUAUAUUUUAAGUGAUAAUCAAAUCAGAUCUUGAGUCUGGCAGGCAUGCAUCAUUUGUGCUUGGGCUAUCUGGGCCUCAGUCUGAAAUAGCAACUUGACCAUUAGUAUUUAAAUGGCAGGCUGUGGGUUUUAGCUUAGGUAGCCGGUUCAAAUUAAAGGGCGCUCCCUUUUGUUUGGAUCCGGACUUGAACUUGAAACCAGAAUUUUAUAACAUUAAGUAAUUAAGGCCUUUUCUUUAUUUCUUUUAAAGACAAUAUAAUUAGAAGAUUAUAGUCACUUUAGGACAUUCUUAAAUAAAAAUAAGACAAGCCUCGCCAAACAAAGCACAUAAAUUGCGGCACCCUCAAUGAAUAGCUGUAAUAAAUAUAUAGAAUUUGGGAUAGGCCGUUUAGCAAAUUUUUCGGCAUUCCUCAAAAUAAUAACGUGUUAGUCACUUUAGGUGCGAUUUUAAUAAAAUUACCUCCUUAAACUCGGGUGUGCAUUUCAUGAGACCCAAAAUUGAAUCCCAAAACGUCGGAUAAAAUGUGAUGCAAUGCAAAGACAUAUUUUAAAUGAUGUUCAACUUUCUUUAAUAAACGAAUAAAAGUGGUUAAAAUUUAAAAUUGGCACAUAGGUUCAAAUGUAUUAAAGUCAGGCAAAUAAUCUAAACAUGACAGUUGGGCUACCGUGCUAGAACCACGUAAAAUGAGAAUGCCUAGCACCUUUUACCGUGUUAACAGAAUUUCUUACUUGGAUUUCUGGUUCACGGACUAUAAUACAGAGAAUCUUUUUUUGGAUUUGGGAUUCAACUUGUGACUUGUGACACCAUAAAUUUCUCAUUUGACGACUUUGAAUCUUAAUAACAUAUCUCAUUUCGAUUCUCCUUUAAUUGGAAAAACUCCCUAAUUCCCUACGCCCUGCGGGCGUGUGUAAAAAGGAGGUGUGACAACCACUUACGGGUCUUUGGUAGGCUGUGUUAUGCCCUCAGCUAGAAAAGCUGAUAAAUUCAGUCCCAUGGUCAUUCCUGUUGUACAUCUGGGCUACUCUUUUGUGCAAAAGGGAUACAUUUUGUAUGAUCUUCACUUUAAAAUGUUCUUUGUAAGCAGGUACCCUGUCUUUAAGGAGGAUCUUUUUCCCUUCAAGCAUGUUAUAUCCAGUGUCUAUCCUUUAUUUCCUAUUUUGGAUCUUUCAGAAGCUAAUUUCUAUUCUCUCAAUUCCAUUCCUGCUCCUUUGAACACUAUAGCCGAGUCACAUUCUUUUGUUUCUAGUUAGCCUAUUUGUCCUAGACAACUAGUUUUUUAUCAUUAUCUACAGUCAAACUCCUCAAAUACUUCUGAUCCACCUCGUAUUAGGAAAUCGUAGGACUUAUGUCCUCCUAUAUGGUUGAAAGAUUAUGUUGUACCCUCCAAAGGAGCAGCCUAUAAUUACUCUAUUUCCCAGUAUGUUUACUAUGAUAAGUUGUCUCAUGCAUAUCAGGCUUGUCUUGUUGCCUACUAAGCUGUUUGAGCCUACCUCCUAUGCUGAGGUAAGUACUGAUCCUAAGUGGAUAGAAGCCAUGCAAGCUGAAAUUGAUGCUCUUGAAGAGAAUCAGACCUGGUCCAUUGUAGACCUUCCUCCUGGCAAGGUUCCUAUUAGUUGAAAGUAGGUAUUCAAGGUUAAAUAUAAGUCUAUUAGGGAGGUAGAGAUAAGUAAAGCUCGACUGUUUGCUAAGGGGUAUAGUUAGCUUGAAGGUCUGGAUUACAAAGAGACUUUCUCUCAUAUGGCCAAAAUGGUCACAGAGAGGCCUGUAGUGGCUUGGCUGCAGCAUCUGACUGGUUUAUGUUCUAAAUGGAUGUGCACAAUUCAUUUUUUCAAGAAGAUCUUCUUGAAGAGGUCGAUGUGCAAAUCUCAGAUGGCUUUUCCAGCUAAAGGGAGUGCCAUCAAUAUGUAUGUAGACUACAUAAGUUCUUGUACAGACUCAAGCAGGCCCCUAGACAGCGGAACCUGAAGUUUCCUUCUGCUCUGAAGGGUAUGGGAUUCAUAUAGUCUCAUUAUGAUUACUCUCUUUUCACACAAAGGAUAGAUGGCUAUCUGAUAGUAAUUCCGGUAUAUGUUGAUGACCUUGUGGUUACUGGGAAUAACUUUGAGCUUAUUUAUCAAGUACGGACAUAUUUGCAAGCUAAGUUCAAAAUGAAAGACGUGGGAGAAUUAAAAGUCUUUCUGGUAAUUGAUUUCUCCAUAUCUAAAGAAGGAAUCCUUAUGAAUCAAAGAAAAUAUGCUCUUGAGUUAGUGUCUGAGCUGGGAUUAGCUGGUGGAAAGCAAGUUGCUACACCUCUUGAGUUCAAUCAGAAACUCACCUCAGUAGCAUUUGACAAAUUCAUGAACAGGGGAGAAGCAUCCACAGAUGCACAACUUAGAGGAUCCAUGUAGCUAUCAGAGAUUGGCGGGCAGAUAGCUAUACUUGACAAUGACAAAGUCAGAUAUUGCCUUUGUUGUUCAAGUACUUAGUCAUCAUAUGUAUGCUCCCAAGCAGUCAUAUACGGUAAAAGCAACACAAGUGGUCAAGUAUGUCAAGGGUACUGCAGGACUGGGACUGUUUAUGCCACCAAAACGAAACAAGCAACUAGUUGCCUAUUGUUAUUCAAAUUGGGGUUCAUGUAUGGAGUCAAGAAAUUCUAUCGAUGGUUAUAUAGUUGAGUUUGGUAGAGUUUUAAUCUCUUGUAAAUCCAAGAAGCAAAUCACAGUUUCUAGGAGCUCCGCUGAAUCGAAAUUCAAAAGUAUGGCAGCUACUGUUGUGGAACUUGCUUGGCUAGUUGGCUUGUUUAGAGAGCUAGGAGUUACAGUGAACACUCUUGUACAAUUUUUCUGUGAUAGCAAAGCUGCUAUAUAGAUUGCAGCACACCACAUAUUUCAUGCAAGGACAAAACUAUUUUGACAUUGAUCGCCAUUUUGUAAGAGAAAAAAUUCAGGGUGGUCAAAUUCAGACUCAACAUAUUAGGAAUGAGGAAUAUGCUGUUGAUCUAAUUACCAAGAAUCUAUGCAAACCACAACAUGAGUACUUGAUUGGCAAGUUGGGAAUGAAUAACCUCCUACAUCCCUCGACUUGAGGGGAAGUGUUGAGAAGUAUGUACAUAAUAGAAAUUAGCUAGACGGUUAGAAGUUAGUUAGUGGGUUAGUGCACAACUGUCAACAACUAAUAUUUUCUUUUUAAGGAGUUAGUAGUUAGUGAUUGUGUGUGUGUGUGUGUGUGUAUAUAUAUAUAUAUAUAUAUAUAUAUAUAUAUAUAUGUGCAGGACUGGGAUUGUUUAUGCCAGUAAUACGAAACAAGCAACUAGUUGCCUAUUGUUAUUCAAAUUGGGGUUCAUGUGUGGAGUCAAUAAAUUCUAUCGAUGGUUAUAUAGUUAAGUUUGGUGGAGUUUAAAUCUCUUGGAAAUCUAAGAAGAAAAGCACAGUUUCUAGGAGUUCCGCUGAAUCGAAAUUCAAAAGUAUGGCAGCUACUGUUGCGGAAGUUAUUUGGCUAGUUGGCUUGUUUAGAGAGCUAGGAGUUACAGUGAACACCUCUUGUAGAGUUGUUACUGUUUAUGCCAGCAAAACGAAACAAGCAACUAGUUGCCUAUUGUUAUUCAAAUUGGGGUUCAUGUGUAGAGUUAAGAAAUUCUAUCGAUGUUAUAUAGUUAAGUUUGAUGGAGUUUUAAUCUCUUGGAAAUCCAUGAAGCAAAGCACAGUUUCUAGGAGUUCCGCUGAAUCGAAAUUCAAAAGUAUGGCAUCUAUUGUUGCGGAAGUUACUUGGCUAGUUGGCUUGUUUAGAGAGCUAGGAGUUAGAGUGAACACUCUUGUACAGUUGUUCUGUGAUAGUAAAGCUGCUAUAUAGAUUGCAGCACACCACAUGUUUCAUGCAAGGGCAAAACUAUUUUGACAUUGAUUGUCAUUUUGUAAGGGAAAAAAUUCAGGGUGGUCAAAUUCAGACUCAACAUAUUGGGACUAAGGAAUAGGCUGUUGAUCUACUUACCAAGAAUCUAUGCAAACCAUAACAUGAGUACUUGAUUGGCAAGUUGGGAAUGAAGAACCUCCUCCAUCCCUCAACUUGAGGGGAAGUGUUGAGAAGUAUGUACAUAAUAGAAAUUAGCUAGACGGUUAGAAGUUAGUUAGUGGGUUAUUGUACAACUGUCAACAACUAAUAUUUUCUUUUUAAGGAGAAUAUAUAUAUAUAUAUAUAUAUAUAUAUAUAUAUAUAUAUGUAUGUAUGUAUGUAUAAAGCAUUAUUCUUUGAAAAUUAGAAAAGUAUGUGAAAUGAAAAAAAUGAGAAUUUGGUUUUUUUAUAAAGUACAAAACUUCAGAAAAAUAAUUCAAAAUUUUCAAUUCAAAGCACUCAUAAGAAUAUAAAAGUAACUCCAAAUUGUAUUCAUGUCUAAACACAAUUCUCAUUUUAAAAUAAUUUUCAACUUGAAAUUUUUUCUUACUUUUUUCAGGAAUUUCACAAUUCGUAUGUCCAAACCCUUCUAAAUUCAAUAAUAAUUCAACUAUCCUUUUUUUUCUUAACCUUAUUGAGAUAAUUUCUAACCGCACAAGUUAUUAUAGUUUGUUUAGAUCAUAAGUUUCAAAAGUCUUUCUCUAUUUCGUGAACUCAAUAUCUAGUCAAAGACCUUCAUGUAAAUUGGGAGUGAGGGAGUAUAAUUUAUGUGAGAAAAAUAAAUGAUAAAUGAGAUUAUAAGAUAUAGUUACGUGACUAAUUAAUGAACAAAGAAAAAUAAUUCACUAAUAACUAAAAUAAGAUUGAGCGAAAAUUAUUUUGGUUAUAUUAAUUAUAGGACAAAAUUAAGUUAUUAAACAAUAUACAUAUGAAAACAAAGCAAUAAAUUAAUCGAUAAUAAAAAAUAAUCAUAUAAAAUAUAUACUAUAAAUAUAGAGAAAUAAUAAUUUUUGGAUCCUUAAAGUUUUGGGGCCUUAAGCAAGUACUUCACUUGUUUUAGGUCUGGUCGGCCCUGUAUUAAUCUUAAUUUGUUUAUUGAAUUAAUAAUAAAUCAAUUCAAGUGGAUCGAACAGACUAUUAUUAAAAGGUAGAUUCUUCAAUGUGUGAAAAUAUUUAAAAGAUCAAUUAAUGUGGAUCAGAGGGUAUUGAGACUAUUGGCUUUUUAUGUAAAGUGGCUAGUGUUGUAAAGUGAUUAUUCAUUUUAGUAGUAUUUGUUUAGAUUAGUAUAUGUAUGUAUACUACAUUUGCACGUGUUAAUAAGGGAGGUUCAUUUUCUGAAUUCCAUCUCCUUCUUCUUCCAGAAUCUUCUUCUUCUCUCUCUCGUAGGAACCUCCAUAACUAUGGUUGUGAUAACUUGAAUUAGGCUAUCUCAGUCAGUUAACAUGAUAUCAGAGCAAGACAUUCCGAUCUACUGCAUCUUUGCUACUUUCUCUUCAAUUUUUACUUGUCAAUUUUGAAUUUCAUCCCAAAUCGAUUGAUCGUCGAAGAAAUUUUCAUUUUUGCCCUAAUUUUGCGUCAAAGAAGAGGUUUCCGCUUCUAAACUGCAUAAUCAUACAUCUCAACCUUAUUAGUGAUGGUCGUAAAUGAUUUGAGUGAUGCAACUGGCACUAAUGUGCACGUCGGAGUUCCAAGAAAUUAUGGUAUCGAUCCCGGUGAUCCUCUGUAUUUGCACCCGUCGGAUAAUCCCGGUGCUAUGCUUGUUUCAGCUGCCUUCACUGGCAUUGGCUAUCGUUCAUGGAGGAGUAGUGUGUUGCGAGGUCUAUCAGUGAAGAAUAAGCUAGGGUUCAUAAAUGGCGAGUGCAAGAUCUCAAAUCCCCAGUCACCUAUGUUCCGACAGUGGAUACGUGUCGAUGAUAUGGUGACUUCGUGGAUCCUCAAUUCUCUGUCAAAGGAGAUAGCAGACAGUGUUGAAUAUGGAAAUGAUUCCAUGGAGUUAUGGAUCGAAUUAAUAGAGAUGUACUAGCAGACAAAUGGAGCUAGAUUAUAUCAAAUACAAGAAGAGAUAAAUGAUCCAUCUCAAGGAACUCUCGACAUUACCAGUUAUUACAUCAAAUUGAAGAAACUUUGAGAAGAGUUGAGUACCUUAAGUGAAAUCUCAAUGCACAUGUAGUUGCAGUUGUGGAGCAAAAGGAAAAUUUCUACAAAGCUGAACAAGAUAGGCGGUAAAUACAAUUUCUCAUGGGCCUAAUUAAAACUUACACUGUAAUUUGAGGUAGCAUUGUGAUGAUGAAUCCACUCCCCAAUCUUGCUCAAGAAUUUUCUCUCCUAAUACAGGAUGAGAAGCAAAGGGAAAUCAAACCUCAUACUCAGCUAUUUAUUGAGUCAACCUCCACGAAUGUCACCAGCUCCAAACCUAGUGGCUAUAGAACCAACUACUCACCUAACAAUGCACAUGUAGUUGCAGUUGUGGAGCAAAGGAAAAUUUCUACAAAGCUGAACAAGAUAGGCGGUAAGUACAAUUUCUCAUGGGCCUAAUUAAAACUUACACUGUAAUUUGAGGUAGCAUUGUGAUGAUGAAUCCACUCCCCAAUCUUGCUCAAGAAUUUUCUCUCCUAAUACAGGAUGAGAAGCAAAGGGAAAUCAAACCUCAUACUCAGCUAUUUAUUGAGUCAACCUCCACGAAUGUCACCAGCUCCAAACCUAGUGGCUAUAGAACCAACUACUCACCUAACAAUAAUCACAUUGGAUAAGGUGGACAAGGAAUGGGAAGACCUAUGUGUGAUUACUGUAAGAAAACAGGGCACACCAAGGAUAAAUAUUUCAAACUCCAUGGUUAUCCUGAGAAUUUGGACAUUCUUGAAACCAGAACUAUAAUCCAAAUCAGCAAUUCAAUCGCAAUCAAAAUUUCAAUAAAGGAAAGAGAGUCGUGGCAAGUGUUCAUGGGGACCAUUCAUCUGAAAUAUUAUCCAACAAAGAAGAUGAACAAAAUGACCUAAAUGCAGACCAAACUAUCAGCCUUUCAAAGGAACAUUAUGGACAAAUUAUGAACUUACUUCAACACUUUCAAGCUGGCAAUGGAGGAGAAUAUGCAAAUCCAAAUAACUCUAUCAAUGGAACCUCUAUCAAUGGAACUGUGAACUUUGCAUGCAUAAUAGUCUGCACUUCUUCUAUAGAUUUUGGUAAACUGUCAUGUCAGUGUCUCAAAAACAAAGCCGAGUCUUGGAUUCUAGACUCAGGGGCAUCAAACCAUACGACUUUCAAUAAACCCUUACUGACUAACAUCAUAAUGUUACCUUAUCCUAUCCUAGUUGUUUUGCCAAAUGGAUACAAAGUAAAAGUAAUUGAGAUUGGUAGUGUAACCCUUGUGCCAGACAUCACCUUGCAUAAAGUAAUGUUUGUACCUUCAUUCAGAUUCAACCUCAUUUCUAUUCAUGGUCUGACUAGUGUAAAUCCUAGGAUUUUAGCAGCCUUCACUAACAACCUUUGUGUUAUGCAGGCCCCUUGAAUGAAGAUGCUUCUGGAAAUUGGUAAGGCUUGUGAUGGGCUAUAUCUUCUUUGUCCAAAGUGUUUGAGAAACAAGUAUCCAGGUUCUUCUGUCAGCAAUUCUCCUUGCACACACAACUCACAUCAAUGUCAUAGUUCAAACUGCCAUUCUGGCUCACAUGUACAUAGUUCAUUGUCCACAAAUAAGUGUGUAUCUUUUUCUCCACAUGUAAAUAUUCCAUGUUUGAAUAAUACAAGUUUCUGUUUGAAUUAUUCUGUGUCUAUAU
rnacentral:lncRNA from 1 species